rnacentral:rRNA from 1 species
UACGUAGGGUGCGAGCGUUAAUCGGAAUUACUGGGCGUAAAGUGUGCGCAGGCGGCAGAGCAAGUCGAGUGUGAAAGCCCCGGGCUUAACUUGGGAAUUGCGCUCGAAACUACUUUGCUGGAGUGUGGCAGAGGAAGGUGGAAUUCCACGUGUAGCGGUGAAAUGCGUAGAGAUGUGAAGGAACACCAAUGGCGAAGGCAGCCUUCUGGGCCAACACUGACGCUCAUGCACGAAAGCGUGGGGAGCAAACAGG